rnacentral:rRNA from 1 species
AGCAGCCGCGGUAAUUCCAGCUCCAAUAGCGUAUAUUAAAGUUGUUGCAGUUAAAAAGCUCGUAGUUGAAUUUCGGGAUCAGUACGCUGGUCGUGCCUUUGGUAUGUACUGGUGUCACUGAUUCCUCCCUUCUGAAGAACCGUUAUGCCAUUUACUUGGUGUGGCGGGGAAUCAGGACUGUUACUUUGAAAAAAUUAGAGUGUUUAAAGCAGGCUCACGCUUGAAUACAUUAGCAUGGAAUAAUGAAAUAGGACGUUUGAUUCUAUUUUGUUGGUUUCUAGGAUCGACGUAAUGAUUAAUAGGGAUAGUUGGGGUCAUUAGUAUUCAAUUGUCAGAGGUGAAAUUCUUGGAUUUAUUGAAGACUAACUACUGCGAAAGCAUUUGCCAAGGAUGUUUUCAUUAAUCAAGAACGAAAGUUAGGGGAUCGAAGACGAUCAGAUACCGUCGUAGUCUUAACCAUAAACUAAUGCCGAC